CAGAGGUCCCAAGCGUUGUUCGGAUUCACUGGGCGUAAAGGGUGCGCAGGUGGGUUGGCAAGUUUGAUGUGAAAGCCCCGGGCUUAACCCGGGAAUGGCAUUGAAUACUGCUGAUCUGGAGGAUCGGAGGGGGACUGGAAUUCUUGGUGUAGCAGUGAAAUGCGUAGAUAUCAAGAGGAACACCAGUGGCGAAGGCGAGUCCCUGGACGAUACCUGACACUGAGGCACGAAAGCCAAGGGAGCAAACAGGAUUAGAUACCCUGGUAGUCUUGGCUGUAAACGGUGCGCAUUUGCUGCAAACGGAAUCGACCCCGUUUGUGGCGAAGCUAACGCGAUAAAUGCGCCGCCUGGGAAGUACGGUCGCAAGAUUA
rnacentral:rRNA from 1 species